GACGGAGGGUGCUAGCGUUGUUCGGAAUGACUGGGCGUAAAGGGCGCGUAGGCGGCUUUUCAAGUCGGGUGUGAAAGCCCGGGGCUCAACCCCGGAACGGCAUCCGAUACUGGGAGGCUUGAGACCGGGAGAGGAGGGUGGAAUAUCCAGUGUAGAGGUGAAAUGCGUAGAUAUCUGGAGGAACACCGGUGGCGAAGGCGGCAUCCUGGACCGGUAUUGACGCUGAGGCGCGAAAAGCUAGGGGAGCAAACGGGG
rnacentral:rRNA from 1 species